AUUGAACGCUGGCGGCAGGCUUAACACAUGCAAGUCGAGCGGAGAGAGGUAGCUUGCUACCGAUCUUAGCGGCGGACGGGUGAGUAAUGCUUAGGAAUCUGCCUAUUAGUGGGGGACAACAUUUCGAAAGGAAUGCUAAUACCGCAUACGUCCUACGGGAGAAAGCAGGGGAUCUUCGGACCUUGCGCUAAUAGAUGAGCCUAAGUCGGAUUAGCUAGUUGGUGGGGUAAAGGCCUACCAAGGCGACGAUCUGUAGCGGGUCUGAGAGGAUGAUCCGCCACACUGGGACUGAGACACGGCCCAGACUCCUACGGGAGGCAGCAGUGGGGAAUAUUGGACAAUGGGCGCAAGCCUGAUCCAGCUAUGCCGCGUGUGUGAAGAAGGCCUUAUGGUUGUAAAGCACUUUAAGCGAGGAGGAGGCUACUUUAGUUAAUACCUAGAGAUAGUGGACGUUACUCGCAGAAUAAGCACCGGCUAACUCUGUGCCAGCCGCCGCUGUAAGAC
rnacentral:rRNA from 1 species